rnacentral:snoRNA from 1 species
CUGCACUGUUGGUUAACCUUCUGGCAGCGACCUCUGACCCCAGGUUCCAUUCCAGUGCUAUAUUCAUCCCACUAGAACGAGUGGCCUGCUGCCUUACAUCGAGUGUGGCUAUUUCCACAGCUGGGAACAGUG